rnacentral:lncRNA from 1 species
ACUGAAUAUGUUCCUUUUGUUUCCAAACAACUGAAUGGUGUAAGAUGAAAACGCAUAAUUUAGCUCUUGUUAACAACAAUUAAUCCCAGCCGGGCCUGAGAACUUCCCUGAGGAGCCUGCCCUCGCCAACCUGGAGAGCUACUUGGCCAGAGGCGACGCCUGAGCUCCGCCCCCAGGACCCUGCCAUCUCCAUCCGGGAGACCAUCGCUGGGCGGGGCCUUAGCCGCUCUGGAGGAGGCCGCCAUAUCCUGUCAGGGAAGCGGCGCGGCCCGGGCCUGAGCUCCGGCGAGGACCUCGCCACUGCUGGGGCCUUUACCUCAAACGACAGAGAGCAGAAGGGCCAUCAUUCUGAGCCAGGAAGAUAACUGGGUGGUGAGCAGCCGAGAGAGAGCCGCCACUCAGUCUCGUUGAGAAUCAAAGCCCGCUGAGAGUGUGAAGAGAAUCCCUCCAAUAAAGAGUCAGCAGUUGGCAGAAGCUGGGUGAAUGAACGACUGCAUGUAGUUCCUGCGCCUCAGGUUCCGUCGGCUGCCAAGACCGAGAAAUGGAAAUGCCAGACCACCAAAGUCUGCCUCGGCUGUGAGAUUCCACGGGGUUAUCCCAGUGCCAAAGGCUCAAGCCUUAUGUGCAGUCUUGCCAUGGAAUUACAAGACAUUUCAAAAUUUUUGAGGGGCUGCAGGAAGACUGCUUACUCAUGAAGAAGGGAGGCAAUAAACUUCAGGUAGUCAAUGGCUCUGUAGUCCUGCUGCUGAUGCUCUUAGAAUUUUGGAGAGUUAAAACUGGCUGGAAGAAGAAAACGAUUCAUCGGUCACUCCAAAGGCAACAAAGUACAUUGAUUGAGAUAUGA